GGGGGGACGCGAAGAACCUUACCAGGGCUUGACAUCUUGCGGAUCUGCUGGAAACAGCGGAGUGCCCUUUGGGGAACGCAAAGACAGGUGGUGCAUGGUUGUCGUCAGCUCGUGUCGUGAGAUGUUGGGUUAAGUCCCGCAACGAGCGCAACCCCUACCCUUAGUUGCCAGCAUGGAAGGUGGGCACUCUAAGGGGACUGCCGGUGACAAACCGGAGGAAGGUGGGGAUGACGUCAAAUCAUCAUGCCCUUUAUGUCCUGGGCUACACACGUGCUACAAUGGCCGGUACAGAGGGUAGCGAAAGGGCGACCUGGAGCCAAUCCCAAAAAGCCGGUCUAAGUUCGGAUUGCAGGCUGCAACUCGCCUGCAUGAAGGCGGAAUCGCUAGUAAUCGCCGGUCAGCAUACGGCGGUGAAUGCGUUCCCGGGUCUUGUACACACCG
rnacentral:rRNA from 1 species